AGGUGAGAGCUGAUUGGCUGACCUAGGCCUUCCUCUUCUGGGAGAGCAGAGCAUAGAAACGUUUGGUUUGCUGACACGGGGCUUAACAUUAGUGACUCCAUUUUGGACGUAAUCUGGUUACUUUAAUGACAUUGACGUGAACUACAUCCAUAGUAGUUCCCUAAGCGUGGUGGCCCUAAUCUGGAUUGUAGCUCAAGUUCCUCUGGGAAGUAUACCUGAGCUGGGAUGUCUCCAAAGUUCCCCAGUUAGGUCUAACCUGAUCUAGUAUAUGUCCCUAGUCACCGAGGGUGUGUAUACUGACAGUGGGUGUCUCCCAGUUCUCCAGGUUUGACUGCCCUGACCGUGGAAGUCUGCCAAUUUUCCCGUGGGUCUACACUGAUCAAGGAUAUUCCCCUAAAUCUCUCGGUGUUGACCUGGGAUGUGUAAUUCCUCCUCCGUGUGUCCACUGACUUGAGAGGUCUCGUGUUUAUUGGUACCACUCUGGAAGUCCCCUCUCUGCUCUGUUGUAUUCUGACGCAGCACGUCUGCUUACUUCCCCAAGUCCACCUACCCUGACCUUCAGGGUCUCCACGACUCCUGAGAUGUUAGCUCACCUGGACCGCUGACUAGUUCCUCAGAUGUGUCUACAAAAAGCGGUAUUUUAUUGUAAUAUACCAGUUAUGUCUACACUGACCUGAGCGGUCUUAAUUCCCCAAGUGUGUCAACACUAACCUAGUAUGAUUCCAUAGAUUCCCAGCUGUGUCUGCCUCGACAUUGGAUGUCUCCACUUGACCUGCUGUGACUCCCUAGUAUCUCAGGCAUGUCCACUCUGACCCGGAACAUCUAACACCUCAGGUGUGGCCACUUUGCCCUGGAGCCUCCCUGGUUCCCCAGUUGUGCCUGCCGUAAUCUGAGAUGUCAAACUCAGACGUGUCUACUCAUACCUGGGAUGUCUAAUCCACAGAUGUGUCCACGCUGAACAGGGAUGGCUUCCUAAAACCCCAGCUGUGUCUAUCCUGACCCGGGAUGUGUCCCAAAUUUUCAAGGAGUGUCUUCUCUGAGCUGGGAUGUCUCGUUCUCCAGAUUUCUCUCUCUGGACCUUGAACGUCUCCGUUCUUCAGGACUGUCCAGCGUAUCCUGGGACGUAUGCCUCUGUCCUUCGCCGUGUCUACUGCGAAUCUGGAGGUCUCGUUCCUCAGGUGUUCUGAUCUGUGAGGUCUCUAAGUCCCCAGGCCUGUCUGCAUUGAUUACAGUGACCCUUUAAUGCACCAGGCUCUCCCCAGGUCCCCAGAUGCGUCUACCCUGAUACGUGAUGUCCCCUGAGUUCCCCUCUGUUUCUACUUUGUGGAAUGUCUACCGUAACCUGGAAUGUCUCCUUAAUUCCCCAGAGUCUUCAGUAAACACUAAUCGUGAUCUCCGUGCGAGCUGAAGAACCUAAUGAGAUUCUGGUUCGUGAUCUUCAAUGUCCAAAGAAGGGUCACGUGAUGCUAAGCUGCUCUCCGUUCAACAGGGAGAGUGAUCGACGGGAAGGGACUGGUUUUUAUGUUAAUGUUUAUUUUUGAGAGGUGCAGAGAGAGAGGAGGACAGAGGCUCUGAAGCAGGCUCCACACUGACAGCAGAGAGCCUGACACGGGGCUCA